rnacentral:misc_RNA from 1 species
GGAAAAAAAAAAUCUCGUCAAUCGGAUGGCCAAAACCAAAAGCCAUAUAAAAGCCACUUGGAAGAAGAGACACAAUCGAAACUAGAAAUGGCUUCCAGGACUCUUACUCAUUACUCUGCGUUCAUAAGAGAGCCAUUGAGACCUCUACACCACCAAAAUCGAGUCCUCUAUUCGCUUCCGCCGAGAACUGCUGCCGCCUCUGGAUUUUCUAGCGGGAAAUCGAUCCGUGGAUUUUGUAGAAGCAUCAGUAGGGCUCACGAUUUCCACUUCGUGAGACCAAGCCACCUUAAUUGCUCUGCUUCUGCUGGUGGUAACAAGUCCUCAGCUUCCGAGGAUGAGCAGGACCAAGGGCCGCCCCAAGAAGCUGUUCUCAAAGCUAUUUCAGAGGUGUCUAAGACGGAAGGGAGGGUUGGGCAGACCACAAAUGUGGUCAUUGGAGGUACAGUGACUGAUGAUUCUACCAACGAAUGGCUUGCUUUGGAUCAGAAGGUAAAUUCAUACCCAACAGUGAGAGGGUUUACAGCGAUUGGAACUGGAGGUGAUGAUUUUGUGCAAGCUAUGGUUGUUGCUGUUGAAUCUGUAAUUCAGCAACCAAUUCCUGAGGGUCAUGUGAAGCAGAAAGUAUCAUCAAGGGGCAAGUAUGUAUCUGUCAACAUUGGUCCAGUUCAAGUUGUUUCCAGUGAACAGGUCUCUUUGUAUCCCUCUCUUCCUCGCUCUCAAAACACAUGCAUGCAUGCAGAGAACACAAAAGUAUUAGUGCAGUACUGCUUGUCAAUUUGUCUUUGUCAUGGAAAAUAAAAGAAAGAGGUUGAUAUGUGGACACUCGAGAUUUUAAUGCCUCCUCCCUGCCUAAAGGGGAAGGUAACAAAAGUGGGGGAGAGAAGGAAAUUUUAUGAUCUGUUCUAGGGUCAAUCAAAAUACCGGGGAAACUUGGUUCACUAUUAAUAAAUGAUAUGCCAUAUCUUUUUUGCUUUGAUGUGGACAUAAUAGAACAAAAUUCGUUGAUAUGAACCUUUUGUUUUGCUUUCCAGGUCCAAGCUGUAUACAAUGCCAUGAGGAGAGAUGAUCGGAUGAAGUACUUUUUGUAGUAUGGAAUUUCUUUCGUAUAGAGUGCUAAUCAUGUGAGGCCCUACAAUUGCCUCUCCCCAAAUUUUCUUUACUGUCUCUCAGUUGUGUUCUUUUGAUUAAGCCACGUGUUCCUUAUGAAGAAAUCAUGAUUUAUUAUGAUCUGUUCCACACAUGCACAAGAUGUAUAUUGCAGUGAUUUGAUGGUAAAAACUAGGCUGCAAAUUAAUCCAUUCAUUGUCUGUAAUAUCAUGUUUAAUCAGCAAUAGAUGAGUUGGUUAUGGAUAAGCACUAUUUAUUGGUCAGGUGAAAUGAAUUAAUUUCGUUAUUUAACUUUUGUUGUGUUUUGAAUGCAUUGAAAGCGUGGAAGUUAUUAGCAUCCGCUACUAUUUGAGUCGUUGAAGUGCAGAGAAUGUGAGACUAGUACCUGAAAAUUUUGCCCUCCACCCCCAACCCCAAAUUGCCGUCUACCCGUUUAAGUUGCAUCCCAUUUGUUCAUAUUUCUAAGCUCUGCUUUCCAGCAGUAAUUACAACGUUGAACAUACCCGUUCUGCCAUAUAGGAUGGCGGAGUCUGAUUUUUCCUUCCACAGUCAUUGAGAAAGAAAAACUGGAGGCCAAGCUGGAUUUCAGUAGUUGUAUCAUCUAGAACUUGCUGGUUCUGGUUACUUUUCUCUAUCCAUAUUGCAUUAUUUGAUUAUUAGCCAGCGCAGGCAUAUUGUAUUAGUGAUAAGUGUUCUUGUAAGUACACUUCUCAUUGAUCGGGGUUGCUGUAAUUUCCUAUUUCUAUUUGCAUUAGUCAAAGUAAGCGCUAUCAUUACGUCAUGAAUUUUUGGUUAAUUCCUGUUAUCAUUUAGAUUGAGAUGAUAAUUUGUAGUCAGAGUCAUAAUACGAUGUUGAUUAGGCACAGG